ensembl:lncRNA
UUGAGAUCCUGCUACCUCCAGAUAUUCAUGCCAGGCAUAUCUGAUUGAUGAUGCACGCAGCUCUGGAAGCUUUCUGCAUCAAGUCUGCACACUUUCCAUUAAAGUUUUUCUGUAGUAUGCGUGGAGACCACAGGACAGAACGUGGUGAAAUGUGAUGUGGAUGGAUAAGCUGCAUGGUAUCCCACCUACCUCCAGCUGAUGCUGCAGAAGAUCUCUUGUUUUCUGGCAAUCCCUUGACACUAACUGGAGGCUGCAGCCUGAUUUGAGGAACCUCUUUUUUCUACAUUUUGGAGAGAACCAAUGGAAUAAACAAGUAAAAACACAGAUGUUCAUCAGGCAACAGAGAAAAGACAAAGUGCACAAAAGCCUCUAGGACCUGUUGGGAUGUACUUCCACUUGCAUGCUGCUAACACGGACUUUUCAAGUUCUGCUGGCUACUUGGGUGAUUUUUUAAAUUUCAGAUGACCCUCCACAUCCAACUAAAAUGGUA